rnacentral:lncRNA from 1 species
CGACUUCUCUCCACAUUACAAAUUCGCGACCCUUCCACCCCCCUCCGUUUUGUAAUCUUGAGGUGAACUUAAACACAAAUUGAAAAAAGUUUUGAUAAGAAAACCCACGCCAUACAAUUUCAUUUCAAAAUUUUAACAGAAACAAAGAACCCUAAUAGCAAUUUUUCACCUUAGACGAUUCUUCACUCAUUUCUUGCCCGUUUCCACAAAAUAUAUCCAGCCGCUCAGAUCCGGGAAGAAUCGAUUAUCAGCAGAUUGAUUAUCACUUGUUCUACCAGAAGAUAAAUCCCCCAAUAAUUGCUUAUAUUGCUUUGUGAGACUAGAUCAAUUGAAGGAAAUAAAAACCCUCUGCCAUAAAAACGUAAAAACCAACCCAUCAGUUUGAGAAAUCCGCGAUUCAAGGCACAUAGGUAUUGUCGUCUUUCUCUGAUUUGAUAAAUCAUAUCAAUCACAUUUUUUUUUUUUUUUUGUUGAGUAAUUUAGUGCUUAAUACAUACUCUUCAACUUGUGAACAAGGUACAUAGGUAUCAUUUGUUUGGGAUAAAUCAAUUAGUUUGCACUGAGGAAACCGCGAGAAGUCAUAGUGGAUGUAUAUAUUAAUUUCUCAUAUCUGAUUUAUAGUGUCAUUCUUGUUUUUUUUAUUGUUGAAACUCUUUACAAAUCUCUGGUAUUUUAUUAAACAUUAAAAUUUAUGAUUUUGCAAUAUGAAGGUAUCUCCAUAUUUCUGGUAUUUUAUUAAACAUUAAAAUUUAUGAUUUUGCAAGGUAUCUCCAUAUUUUUGGAAGUUGUUUUUGCAAUAAAAAGUUGAGUCUUCAACAAUUUUGUGGUUUUUGGUUCAAUAAUUUGGCUAGAGGAAUUCAGUUUUGUGUGGAAAUAAGGAUAGUAAGAUCCACAAACACUGUAAAAUCUUUAUUAGCAUUUGUGAGAAUUCAGUUUUGUAUGCAAAAUGUAUUAGCGUUUGUGAGAUUUAUGAUGCAAAUUUGUGUUGCUUAUGAAAUUGUGUUGCCAUACAACAUUAUAAUACACGAAAAUGAUUAAAUAUUAAUAUAUUAUUGGUUGAAUAUGCUUUUCUUGUGGUGAUAUGAGUUGUAAUGUGUAUGCAGAAAUUAUUCCUACAUUUUCCUGCUACUACAAUUAGGAAUGUAAAUUAAUCUUCUUGGUUUAAUGGUGAUUUGAGCCGUGUAUUUAUGGUAAAUCACUACAAGAAAAAUAUUGAUAGACUACAUGUAAAAGACAAUUGUUUUUAUGAAAAACCAUGGUCGUUGACUCUAAAACUGUUGUCGUAGAUAAAACCGUGGUCUAUUAGCAUAUUUUUAUGCUAAAGGACCACAAAUUUUUAGUACCAUAGUGUUUUGAGCGAGGUCAUAACUAGUUUACAACAACGCUUUUGAAAAACACAUGUUAAUCACUUAAAAAAUUGUAGUCCUUUUAUUAAUUUAAUUAAUACUAAUAAAAAAACAUAAAAAUUAUGAAUAAAUGAAAUCCCUUAACCUAAACCCCCACAAAUUCGCGAUCAUCUCCUUCUCUCUUCACCAAUAUUGUUGCACCGCUUGCAAUCUGCCGCCGUGUCCCUACCACUAGGGCUGUAUACGAACCGAGCCGAGCCGAAUACUUCCAGGCUCGGGCUCAGUUCGUGAAGAUUUGGUUCGGCUCGAGUUCGGCUCGAGCUCGAAUUCGAGCCUAAAAAUGAGCUCGAGCUCGGCUCGCUUAUAUAAUACUAAACUUGAGUUUGGUUCGAAUUCGGCUUGUUAAUUAUUCGUUUAUCUCGAGCUCGAGCUCGACUCGUUAAUUAUUCGUUUAUCUCAAGCUCGGCUCGAAUUUCAAGCUCGAAUUCGAGCUCGGUUCGAAUUAUUUAUAUAUUAAGGUUUCAUUAAAAUAAUAUGAAUCAUAAUUUAUAAUUUAUUUUUAACAAAUAGAUAAUUUAUCAAGUUAGUAGUAAUUUUUUUAAUUAUGCGUAUUAUUUUUAUUAUUUAAAAAAUAUUUAACAAAUAAAAUAUGUAUAAAAUUAUUAUUUAAUGAACCUAUUCGCGAGCCUAUUCACGAACAUAUUCGUGAGCCUAUUUGCAAAUAUAUUCGCGAGCCUAUUCGCGAAUAGGUUCGAGCCGAACAUGUUUGCGAGCUCAUGAGCCGAACAUGCACAGGUUCGAGUUCGGCUCGAUAAUUUUAUCGAGCUUGGAUUUGGGCUCGAGUUCGGCUCAUUUAGAAAACGAACAAAUUUUGAACGAGUUUUUUUCGAGCCGAACCCCGAAUAGUUCGCGAGCGGCUUGGUCGUUUACACCCUUACCUACCGCCUUCCACUUGCCACCUGCCGAGCAUCGCCGACCCUCUGUCCAUUAACCCUAGCAGCCGCCAUGAGCUCUCCAACACAAACCCUAGGUGCCGCGUCUCGUCGUCUGCUACUCGCUGCCACGCCGCCAGCGCCAUUAGCUGCAGCCCGCGCACCACCGGCGUCAGUGCCAUCACCGCAGCCUGCACUCGAUCUGGUCCACCCGCCAACUGCAGCACCUUCGACGGUCUCCACCAUGCUGUCGUCACUUUGUCUGCUCUCCAAUACCCAUAUCGGCGCCCCCGCGACUCGCACCGCUUGCGGCUGUGUUGGUAUGAAAUAUUUUGUGGUUGUAUAUCAUCAUUUGAUUCUAGUCCACAUUACACUUAGUAGAAUAUAUACAAUAAUUUUUAGAUGGGAAAGUGGAUAUUGAGGUACAAAUUGAUAUUUUCACAAGUCUCUAAAUUUAUUUUGGUCUAUGAAAUUCUCAUAUGAAACUAGUUUCUCCAUCACAGGCCAAAUCAUAAAUUAGUUAGGUCUAAGCAUCUAAGGGAAAAAGAAUUAGAACGACUUUUCUUGAGGCUUAUUUAACUGAAGCAUCACACAUCUGUGAAGAGAAAUGAUAAGCUUCUUUUUUUUUUUAUUGUUAAUGGCUUUAAUAAGUGAUUAUAGAUUGCACUUCCCUCUAAUAUAAGUUUCAGAAAUGGAAAACGCACACCUAAAACUAGCUAGAGCUGUCCUUAUAUGCUCUGUACCUCCUUCAGGAGAUAUGUUAUAUUCUUAACAAAAUUGUCUUAAUUUAUACGUAAAUCUUUAUUCUCAUGACUGAUGUAUUUUUUUCCAAUUUUCCCAAUGGCCUAGUGUGGCGGUAUCUAUUCUCCAAACCUAUUGUUGCAUUUAAGGUACUACAUCUUGUAAAGAAUGAAUAACUUCUUUAGAGCAAGAUUGUUUCCUAACUGUGAAAACUUAAACCAAUUACCCGGGGUACAUCUAAUUUGUGACAAUAUGAAACAGAUUAACAUGCAGUUUGGCAGCAAAAGCUUUACUGUCAUGACCUCCUGAAGGAACCAUAGUUUGACGUAUGAUCCAUUUGCUCGUGACCCAUUCCGGAUGCCAAACGAGUACAUACAAAAAUCACAAAUGCCUAUUGCAAGAGUUCAAAACUUACUUGCAAAUCCGACGAUCAAAGACUCCAGUGUUGAUCUUCCAACUUGUUCCCACGGUAGAGCAUGAUGUUGGGUGGCAACGUGCUUCAAGUCCUCUCCUUCAAAGUUGGCGUCUCCUCACUCUCACGAUCUGCUCUCACGUGUAUGAUUAAUUAAUUAGGUUUAGGGUUAUCUCUUAUUAUUUAUACUAGGUAUUAGACAUACCUAAAUGAUAAACACUCAUUUUGCAUGGUUUAUAUUAUGCGGUUUAAGUCGAUUUUACGCCUGUUUUAUUAUUGUUUGGAGUUCAUUGUAUAUUAUUUCAUGAUUUCACGGUCGGGUGUAGUUUUGGCAGUUUUGAUGCAUGGAUGAGUGGUAUUGGAACAUGGAGUGUAAGGAACGUGCUUAAGAGAAGAGUUUUGAGAGAAUCGAG